GCGUUCAUAGCUCAGCUGGAUAGAGCAACGGCCUUCUAAGCCGUAGGUCUGGGGUUCGAAUCCCUGUGGACGCGCCA
rnacentral:tRNA from 1 species